ACUGGCUUGAGGAGGUCGGCAACGACCACCACGAGCCGGAAACUUCGUCAAACUUGGUCAUUUAGAGGAAGUAAAAGUCGUAACAAGGUUUCCGUGUGAACCUGCGGAAGGAUCAUU
rnacentral:rRNA from 1 species